rnacentral:rRNA from 1 species
GUCCAUGCCGUAAACGAUGUCAACUAGCCGUUGGGCUCCUUGAGGGCUUAGUGGCGCAGCUAACGCGAUAAGUUGACCGCCUGGGGAGUACGGUCGCAAGACUAAAACUCAAAUGAAUUGACGGGGGCCCGCACAAGCGGUGGAGCAUGUGGUUUAAUUCGAUGCAACGCGAAGAACCUUACCUGGCCUUGACAUGUCUGGAAUCCUGCAGAGAUGCGGGAGUGCCUUCGGGAAUCAGAACACAGGUGCUGCAUGGCU